AGAAGGACUAAGAUCAUUUUUUGUAAUUGUUUUUAAAGUUCUGCUCAGUUUUAAAUUAAGAGAUGAUCAACCUGAUAGUGUGUAAACUCCACUCUUUGUUUCAGUUUAGGACAAGUUAGAAUUAGGGAACAUUUUAAAAACAACUUGCGAUUCUGGACUGACGUGGAAUAACCUUUGGUGCCUCUGGUCGGAGCAGAAAUGAAAGCAACCCACUCCAGUCCUUUUCCUUCAGCUUGUCUGAUCCAACUGAUAUCAGCGCCACCAUCUGAUGUUCCUGCAUAAGUACAGAGAGAGGAUGAGCUUUUCACGUCAGAAGGGGAUGAACAGAAGACGUCAAAAAGAUGAUAAGAUGAUAAACAGCCAGCAUAACAUCAAGAUUACUAUUUGCUGUUUGCUGCUCGCUUCCGGGCUUGCCCUGGAGGGAUGUUGUACGGGUUUAUCUGUCCUGUUUUGGAGUAAACUCUUUUGCACCGACUCUUGACCGUCUCCAGAGACGUUUUUGUCUGCAAAGUUAUUGACUAUAGUAGAAAGUUAAUAGAGUAUUUUUUGACAAAGUUUAUAAAGCUGGUGAAGGUGGAGACCAGGCUUCAACUGGCCUAGCCUGGCCACAUCUGACCCAACAAAACUUUGAAAAAGAUGCAGAAGCAUGUGUUCACCAGAAAUUGAUGAUAGCACCAGCAACAUUAUACAUAUAGCUAAAGUCAUAGUGAAAAUGUGUUGUUUUUCUGGUCAGUAAUUUUAUUUCUUUUCUUCAGUUUGAAGAGAGAUAUAAGGUUGAAAGUGAUCAAGGUUUGAAAUGACUCCUCACAGCGCUGAAAAUCUAUUUAUGGGAUUUGAUCACUCAGAAGGUCAUUUAUUGAUUAUAUUAAGAAAUUAAUUACAGACAGAUUCUGAUUAAUUGUCUUUUUUUUUUAAGUAAGUUUCAGGUUUCGGGGCACACACAGCACAGCUUCGUUUUGUGGUACAAUGUUUUGUCAUUUUAUGUCCAGAAGUGAGGAACAAAUUUGGUAACAGAGUCGUAUCAGGAUUCUGUCCAUUGUCCAAACCGCUGGCCUCUUUCAUGGUUACAGGGAGGAGCUGUUCUUCUUAGUGCACAUUGAACAGUACUGUUUGAAUACACACAUGUAGUACUAGGUACACGGAAAAAAACCACAUACAUACAGAUGUGCAAUUGAAAAAAAUUAUGGUACCUAAAUUGCAUAUGUGUUGACAGGGUGAGGAAUAUUUUGUCGGUAUUUUCUAUUUCAAUGCAACGUAACUCUAAGGGUUGCCAACUUCAUUACAAAAAAAUAAGGGACACCUGCCACAGCGGGGGCCACACCCAUCGGGGGCUCGACAACAACAGGUGCGAUGGUGUGCCAGUGGUGGUAUAUCACAACUUAAAACAUGUUUUCAGAAAUGUAUUAAGAUUGAUACCAGUGGACAUUAUAAUAAGCUCUCUACUAUCAAAUCAGUGUGAACAGAUGCACUCAGUCUCUCUUUAUCACACCUCAACAGAAUAGCUGAUUAUACGGCUAUGACAAUAAUAAACACAGGCCAACAAUGUGUGACAGUGAGACCACAAAAAAUAAUGUGAGCGGUAUUUUAUUGACUUAUUAAAUCAACAUGUCCAUAACUUAUUAACUAUAAAUAGGAUAAAACGCUUUGAUACAAUUGGAUUAUAAAAGACUUGCAAAGGAUUUUCUGUAAACAUGAACAUCAGUGGACCAGAAGUUGUAGGCCUUGUGUGCAGUAUGGGAGCAUGUUAGGCCUACUUCCUUUUAUAAAUGUUUUCUUGUCAAAAGUUCACUCCUCAUGAGCUCCACAGAGCAUGUGUUCUUGCUGUCACUUUGUUAGUCAUUCUGGAAAAUAUCAUUCCAUAUCAUCUGAGUGCAUGGUGUGGGGCAAGGCGGAAGACCCGAGUCCAGGUGUUCCAGCUGUACUAGAGCCUUUGAAAAUUACAGAAGCGGUGGCCUCUGAAGUGUUGCUAUCACCAUGGAGAAGCUGAUGCCAGUCUCGCUAUGCAACUUCUCAACCUGCCAAAAGGAGCAUGCCAUGGACUCUUUUGAAGCUUAUCCUGAAGAGCAAUUAUGUUCACCUGAGCAAAGUGCAGUGCCCAGCAUAGUCAGAGGGUUCGCCACUACUGGUGGUUGGAAGAGUAGCAGCGAUCUCUGAUCUACCUGAACACCUCCGAGAUCAGGUCGCAAAAACGUUUUAUCCACCUGGUUUAUCCACCUGGUCCACAUUGUUGUCUCUGGAAAUGGUGAAGCGAUUCUGGACUGAUGUGAAAUAAGCUUGUUGGUGGAAUUCAUGGUCGAUAAACCGCUGGAUCGAUACCAGUGAGAAUCCACAGACCCAAAUAUGUCUGCAGAUCUAUUUGAUCCAUCUCACUCCACUUGUUGCCGUCCACACAAAGCCCCUCCUGGUUUGUCAUGUCCAGCACGACCUUUUAUAUUUGCUUUGGCCGAAACAGCUCCUCUGUUGAAGCAUAAUUCUCAUCUUCUUCACAGUUGUUUUCUUCCUCUGUUACAUCUUCUUCUUCUGCAGAUUUCUUGUUAAAUUAAUUCAAGAGCCUUUGACACAGUAUAGUGCCUUUUUAUUCUGUUGUCUCAGACUAAAAUGGCUAAAAGGCUUCAAAAACUCGUUGUUGUUGUUGUUUUGAAAGGCAUAUCAAAGGUUUGAUGAGAACACGUUUACAGAGAUGUGCUGUAUCUUUGAAGUUUGUUAGGAGGUGUCCCUGUCUGCUGCUGGGAUCAACUCCAGCACCAAAGUAACAAUAAACAGUGAAAAUAAGCUGUAGAAAUGCU